CAAUAGCGUAUAUUAAAGUUGUUGCAGUUAGAACGCUCGUAGUCGGAUUUCGGGGCAGUCCGACCGGUCUGCCGAUGGGUAUGCACUGGCCGGAGUGUCCUUUCUGCCGGAGACCGUGCCUACUCUUAACUGAGCGGGGGCGGGAGACGGCACUUUUACUUUGAAAAAAUCAGAGUGUUUCAAGCAGGCAGCUCGCUCUUGCAUGGAUUAGCAUGGGAUAAUGAAAUAGGACUUUGGUGCUAUUUUGUUGGUUUCGAACACCGAAGUAAUGAUGAGAAGGGACAGUCAGGGGCACUCGUAUUCCGCAGAGAGAGGUGAAAUUCUCAGACCCGCGGAAGACGAACCACUGCGAAAGCAUUUGCCAGGGAUGUUUNCACUG
rnacentral:rRNA from 1 species